GGAAGGUGUCCGUGUACUCGAAGUAGUAAGCCAGCAGCACCGUCCCAGCCAUGAUCACCAGCUGGAAAUAGAACAUUAUCCCGGCGUUAGGACGUGGGAGGAAGAGGGGAGAACCGAGUCCCUGCUCCCCUCAGUCACGGGGAGAAGAUGCAUAGGAAACCCGGACCCGACUGACUAAAGAAAACAUCAAAGAAGCUCUGAAAACAGCACGAGCAAGAAAACAAGGCAGGGAUGGACGGAGAUGAUGCGAGAGGGGGAGAGCCUUUCUGCUGCUGGCACUCACGGAACCUACUACUGUUGAGCUAUGAUUCAUAGACCUCAACCCAGAAAGAAGAACAAAAGCUGCAAACGGAAAAGUGACAUCAACCAACAGGACGACUGAUGCAAAACACAACAGUGAACCUGUGUGUCUCCUUUCUCCUCCUUCAUGAACCAGUUGAACUUUUAAAAUGAAACCCUCUGAUGAUUUCUAGAGAAGUUCAGGACUGAAACCAACUCGGAACUCAUCCAUGUUGGUUUUGUUUGUUCACUAAGUUUUAAACCUGCCCAGAUGUUUAAGAUGUGCUAUUGGGGUUCCAAUAAAGUUUUGAAAAAUAUGUAACUUCAAUAUUUGACAUUGCUGGAAGAAAACGACAGAGAUUUAGAAUUUUGACUGCAAGUUCUACAUGAAAAGCUGGUGAAACAUUGUUUUUAUGACUUUGACAUGCAGUUUGCUUGGAAACUUUGAUAUUUGGGCACUUUGGUUUUAGUAAAGAUUAUUUAAUUCAUUGUAUUCAGUGUCAUAUUACCAUGAUUGUAAAUGUAUCAGUUAUGUUGUUAGAUCAGAGUAGAUCAUGUGACUAAUUGAUUUAUUUUUAUUGUGACAGGCCUAGGGACAAUAUGUAAAAAGAAAUAUAUUGAAACUGAUAAAACCAACAGCAGGUGGAAUAAAACAGUCCAGCAGGAUUUGAUCUGA